GAUGAACGCUGGCGGCGUGCCUAAUACAUGCAAGUCGAGCGAACGGACGAGAAGCUUGCUUCUCUGAUGUUAGCGGCGGACGGGUGAGUAACACGUGGAUACCCUACCUAUCAGACUGGGAUAACUUCGGGACACCGGCGCUAAUACCGGAUAAUAUUUUGAACCGCAUGGUUCAAAAGUGAAAGACGGUCUUGCUGUCUCUUAUAGAUGGAUCCGGGCUGCAUUAGCUAGUUGGUAAGGUAACGGCUUACCAAGGCAACGAUGCAUAGCCGACCUGAGAGGGUGAUCGGCCACACUGGAACUGAGACACGGUCCAGGCUCCUACGAGAGGCAGCAGUCGGGUAUCUGCCGCAGUGGGCGAAAGCCUUACGGAGCAACGCCGCGUGAGAGAUGGAGGUCUUCGGAUCGUAAAACUCUGUUAUUAGGGAAGAACAUAUGUGUAAGUAACUGUGCACAGCGUGACGGUACCUAAUCAGAAAGCCACGGCUAACUACGUG
rnacentral:rRNA from 1 species